ACCUCCGCACAACCGCCGCCGCAUACAUCCCUCGCGAACUAGUCGUUGCUUAUCCGAGAUCGUCAUAAGCUGUCGCACUCCAUCGUCCGUCUAGCUCCGUCGCCGCGCUACUCCGUCGUGACCAUCGCCACAUCGUUCAGGCCACAUCCAUUGUUGUUGCUUGACUUGGUUCAUUUGAUCAUCCGAAGUUCUAGUCGUUGGUGUCCGGUUGGUUUCGUUCGACUUUUAAGGAACCCAAUCGAUCCCUCGUCUGAUACAAAUUCUGAAGUUUAAAUUCUGAAUGUUGAUGAUUGUGUCGUUAGAUACAUGGAGCUUGCACAGGGAGGAGCAGGUCGUUGUGGAGCAUGGAUCGUGGAUGCCAUGUUAA
rnacentral:lncRNA from 1 species